rnacentral:rRNA from 1 species
GAUGGCCAGGCUGUCUCCACCCGAGACUCAGUGAAAUUGAACUCGCUGUGAAGAUGCAGUGUACCCGCGGCAAGACGGAAAGACCCCGUGAACCUUUACUAUAGCUUGACACUGAACAUUGAGCCUUGAUGUGUAGGAUAGGUGGGAGGCUUUGAAGUGUGGACGCCAGUCUGCAUGGAGCCGGCCUUGAAAUACCACCCUUUAAUGUUUGAUGUUCUAACGUUGACCCGUGAUCCGGGUUGCGGACAGUGUCUGGUGGGUAGUUUGACUGGGGCGGUCUCCUCCUAAAGAGUAACGGAGGAGCACGAAGGUUGGCUAAUCCUGGUCGGACAUCAGGAGGUUAGUGCAAUGGCAUAAGCCAGCUUGACUGCGAGCGUGACGGCGCGAGCAGGUGCGAAAGCAGGUCAUAGUGAUCCGGUGGUUCUGAAUGGAAGGGCCAUCGCUCAACGGAUAAAAGGUACUCCGGGGAUAACAGGCUGAUACCGCCCAAGAGUUCAUAUCGACGGCGGUGUUUGGCACCUCGAUGUCGGCUCAUCACAUCCUGGGGCUGAAGUAGGUCCCAAGGGUAUGGCUGUUCGCCAUUUAAAGUGGUACGCGAGCUGGGUUUAGAACGUCGUGAGACAGUUCGGUCCCUAUCUGCCGUGGGCGCUGGAGAACUGAGGGGGGCUGCUCCUAGUACGAGAGGACCGGAGUGGACGCAUCACUGGUGUUCGGGUUGUCAUGCCAAUGGCACUGCCCGGUAGCUAAAUGCGGAAGAGAUAAGUGCUGAAAGCAUCUAAGCACGAAACUUGCCCCGAGAUGAGUUCUCCCUGACUCCUUGAGAGUCCUGAAGGAACGUUGAAGACGACGACGUUGAUAGGCCGGGUGUGUAAGCGCAGCGAUGCGUUGAGCUAACCGGUACUAAUGAACCGUGAGG